rnacentral:rRNA from 1 species
UUCCGGUUGAUCCCGCCGGAGGUCACUGCUAUCCGGAUCCGACUAAGCCAUGCAAGUCUUGGUGUUCAAUUUUGGACACCAUGGCGAAAAGCUCAGUAACACGUAGUUAACCUGCCCUCACGUCCGGGAUAAUCUCGGGAAACUGAGGCUAAUACCGGAUAGGUAAGAAUUCCUGGAAUGGAUUCUUAUCCAAAGCUUCGGCGCGUGAGGAUGGGACUGCGGCGGAUUAGGUUUUUGCUAGGGUAAAGUCCUGGCAAGCAUAUAAUCCGUACGGGCCUUGAGAGAGGGAGCCCGGAGAUGGAUUCUGAGACAAGAAUCCAGGCCCUACGGGGCGCAGCUGGCGCGAAAAUUUCCCAAUGCCCGAAAGGGUGAGGAAGGGAUCUGGAGUGUCUUCUCAUUUUGGGAAGACUUUUGCGGAGUGUAAAUAGCUCCGCGAAUAAGUGGUGGGUAAGACGGGUGCCAGCCGCCGCGGUAAUACCCGCGCCACGAGUGGUGACCACGCUUAUUGGGCUUAAAGCGUUCGUAGCCGGUUCAACAAGUCUCUAGUGAAAUCCCACAGUCAACUGUGGGGCUUGCUAGGGAAACUGUUGAACUUGGGACCGGGAGAGGUCGAGGGUAUUCCAGGGGUAGGGGUAAAAUCCUGUAAUCCCUGGGNGANCACCUGKGGSGUGGCCUUUCUAUCUCGCUUAAAGCGUUAAUGGAAGGCCCCACAGAAGGCGCUCGACCAGAACGGAUCCGACGGUGAGGGACGAAAGCUAGGGGAGCGAAGGGGAUUAGAUACCCCCGUAGUCCUAGCCGUAAACGAUGCCCACUAGGCGUCAGCAAUCUCAUGGGGGUUGCUGGUGCCGGAGCGAAAGCGUUAAGUGGGCCGCCUGGGGAGUACGGUCGCAAGGCUGAAACUUAAGGGAAUUGGCGGGGGAGCACACAAGGGGUGGAGGCUGCGGUUUAAUUGGAUUCAACGCCGGG